UGGGGAAUUUUGGACAAUGGGCGAAAGCCUGAUCCAGCAAUGCCGCGUGUGUGAAGAAGGCCUUCGGGUUGUAAAGCACUUUUGUCCGGAAAGAAAUCCUUGGCUCUAAUACAGUCGGGGGAUGACGGUACCGGAAGAAUAAGCACCGGCUAACUACGUGCCAGCAGCCGCGGUAAUACGUAGGGUGCAAGCGUUAAUCGGAAUUACUGGGCGUAAAGCGUGCGCAGGCGGUUUGCUAAGACCGAUGUGAAAUCCCCGGGCUCAACCUGGGAACUGCAUUGGUGACUGGCAGGCUAGAGUAUGGCAGAGGGGGGUAGAAUUCCACGUGUAGCAGUGAAAUGCGUAGAGAUGUGGAGGAAUACCGAUGGCGAAGGCAGCCCCCUGGGCCAAAUACUGACGCUCAUGCACGAAAGCGUGGGGAGCAAAACAGGAUUAGAUACCCUGGUAGUCCACGCCCUAAAACGAUGUCAACUAGUUGUUGGGGAUUCAUUUCCUUAGUAACGUAGCUAACGCGUGAAGUUGACCGCCUGGGGAGUACGGUCGCAAGAUUAAAACUCAAAUGAAUUGACGGGGUCAUA
rnacentral:rRNA from 1 species